CUACGGGAGGCAGCAGUGGGGGAUAUUGCACAAUGGGGGAAACCCUGAUGCAGCGACGCCGCGUGUGGGAAGACGGUCCUCUGGAUUGUAAACCACUGUCCCCAGGGACGAAGAUGACGGUACCUGGGGAGGAAGCUCCGGCUAACUACGUGCCAGCAGCCGCGGUAAUACGUAGGGAGCAAGCGUUAUCCGGAUUUACUGGGUGUAAAGGGAGCGUAGACGGCGAUGCAAGUCUGAAGUGAAAGGCGGGGGCCCAACCCCCGGACUGCUUUGGAAACUGUAUGGCUGGAGUGCAGGAGAGGUAA
rnacentral:rRNA from 1 species